AGAGUUUGAUCAUGGCUCAGGACGAACGCUGACGGUGUGCUUUAGACAUGCAAGUCGAACGGGGUCCCUUCGGGGAUCUACGUGGCGGACGGGUGAGGAACACGUGGGGAAUCUGCCCUGAGGUGGGGGGUAGCCCGUGGAAACACGGGGUAAUUCCGCAUAGCCUGCCUUCCUAGUAAGGGAGGGCAGGAAAGCCUUCGGGCGCCUUGGGAGGAGCCUGCGGCCGAUUAGCUUGUUGGUGGGGUAAUGGCCUACCAAGGCGAUGAUCGGUAGCUGGUCUGAGAGGACGACCAGCCACAGGGGAACUGAGACACGGCCCAGACUCCUACGGGAGGCAGCAGUGGGGAAUUUUCCGCAAUGGGCGAAAGCCUGACGGAGCAAUACCGCGUGAGGGAGGAAGGCUCUUGGGUUGUAAACCUCUUUUCUCAAGGAAGAAAAAAAUGACGGUACUUGAGGAAUAAGCAUCGGCUAACUCCGUGCCAGCAGCCGCGGUAAUACGGAGGAUGCAAGCGUUAUCCGGAAUGAUUGGGCGUAAAGCGUCCGCAGGUGGCUAUGUAAGUCUGCUGUUAAAGAGUCUGGCUCAACCAGAUAAAGGCAGUGGAAACUACAUGGCUAGAGUGCGUUCGGGGCAGAGGGAAUUCCUGGUGUAGCGGUGAAAUGCGUAGAGAUCAGGAAGAACACCGGUGGCGAAAGCGCUCUGCUAGGCCGCAACUGACACUGAGGGACGAAAGCUAGGGGAGCGAAUGGGAUUAGAUACCCCCGUAGUCC
rnacentral:rRNA from 1 species